GGUUAGACGCCGCGUGAGGGAUAGGAGCGUAUAGCCCGCAAUGGCGUUGUCGCGUAGCAAAAACGCAAUGAGGACUUGAAGCGGAUAGCCCGACAGCAA
rnacentral:sRNA from 1 species